rnacentral:rRNA from 1 species
UACGUAGGUGGCAAGCGUUGUCCGGAAUUAUUGGCGUAAAGCGCGCGCAGGCGGUCCUUUAAGUCUGAUGUGAAAGCCCACGGCUCAACCGUGGAGGUCAUUGGAAACUGGGGACUUGAGUACAGAAGAGAAGAGUGGAAUUCCACGUGUAGCGGUGAAAUGCGUAGAGAUGUGGAGGAACACCAGUGGCGAAGGCGACUCUUUGGUCUGUAACUGACGCUGAGGCGCGAAAGCGUGGGGAGCAAACAGG